AUUGAACGCUGGCGGCAGGCCUAACACAUGCAAGUCGCACGAGUGGCGGACGGGUGAGUAAUGUCUGGGAAACUGCCUGAUGGAGGGGGAUAACUACUGGAAACGGUAUCUAAUACCGCCUACCCUCAGCUGUGCCCAGAUGGGAUUAGCUUGUUGGUGGGGUACCGGCUCAACAAGGCGACGAUCCCUAGCUGGUCUGAGAGGAUUACCAGCCACACGGGAACUGAGACAAGGUCCAGAAUCCUACGGGAGGCAGCAGUGGGGAAUAUGGCACAAUGGGCGCAAGCCUGAUGCAGCCAUGCCGCGUGUAUGAAGAAGGCCUUCGGGUUGUAAAGUACUUUCAGCGGGGAGGCGUUACCCGCAGAAGAAGCACCGGCUAACUCCGUGCCAGCAGCCGCGGUAAUAC
rnacentral:rRNA from 1 species